UAAUACGGAGGGCGCAAGCGUUGUUCGGAAUUACUGGGCGUAAAGCGCGUGUAGGCGGUCUGGCAAGUCGGAUGUGAAAUCCCCGGGCUCAACCCGGGAACUGCAUCCGAAACUUCCAGGCUAGAGUUUCGGAGAGGAAGGCAGAAUUCCCAAUGUAGGGGUGAAAUCCGUAGAUAUUGGGAGGAAUACCAGUGGCGAAGGCGGCCUUCUGGACGAUGACUGACGCUGAGACGCGAAAGCGUGGGGAGCAAACAGGAUUAGAUACCCUGGUAGUCCACGCCGUAAACGGUGCGCACUAGGUGUCGGGGGUAUUCACCCCUCCGGUGCCGUAGCUAACGUACUAAGUGCGCCGCCUGGGAAGUACGGCCGCAAGGCUA
rnacentral:rRNA from 1 species